rnacentral:lncRNA from 1 species
CUCCUCUUUUAUAAGCUCAGGUUGCAUAACUAAAUUCUGGUAUUUUUUUCUUUUUCACUCACAGGGACUUACCAAUUUGGGCUUCUUCCAGAGCUGAAAACCGAUUACAAAUACAAAACAGAUUUCACUACUGGACUUGAAUGCCAUAUAAAAAACAAGAUCUUCAAAAUAAUUGAAAAAGGUCCUCACCAAAGAAUAGAUGGAAUGUGAAUGGCAAGAUAUCAAGGAGGUUUUGGUAUUAGGUCUGAUGUGUAUCAGACCCUGAAAUGCUCGUGGAGUGAAUGAAGAAUUUCUGUCGGUACAUAAUGGGAACUAUACAGAGACAGCAAUGCAAUGGGGCGUUUCAAAAUCGUGAUGCCAAGAGUGUCCUCUUCCUUCUUCACCAUACCCUGGACUCCAUUUGCCACCUCCCGCUCUUCGUAGACAUGAGGAAUCUGAGAAAACAUUCACUAUCUGGAAUGCAGAACAAACCCUUCAUAAAUAUUUGGUAAAGCCCUUUGGGUGAGUAAGAACAGCUUGUUCUAUUCUUUCUGAAUGACUUACCCUGUUGCCUCCAUUUACAAAUUGUAUCAUUCAAUCUGGAAAUGAAAGCUGCCCAGCUUUUAGUAAA